UCAUCUUCUCGGAGCUGCUGUCCAACC
rnacentral:piRNA from 1 species